ACGUACACUCCUGCGGGAGGCAGCAGUGGGGAAUCUUGCGCAAUGGGCGAAAGCCUGACGCAGCCAUGCCGCGUGAAUGAUGAAGGUCUUAGGAUUGUAAAAUUCUUUCACCGGGGACGAUAAUGACGGUACCCGGAGAAGAAGCCCCGGCUAACUUCGUGCCAGCAGCCGCGGUAAUACGAAGGGGGCUAGCGUUGCUCGGAAUUACUGGGCGUAAAGGGAGCGUAGGCGGACAUUUAAGUCAGGGGUGAAAUCCCGGGGCUCAACCUCGGAAUUGCCUUUGAUACUGGGUGUCUUGAGUAUGAGAGAGGUGUGUGGAACUCCGAGUGUAGAGGUGAAAUUCGUAGAUAUUCGGAAGAACACCAGUGGCGAAGGCGACACACUGGCUCAUUACUGACGCUGAGGCUCGAAAGCGUGGGGAGCAAACAGGAUUAGAUACCCGGGUAGUCCCA
rnacentral:rRNA from 1 species